rfam:Desulfitobacterium hafniense Y51 DNA, complete genome.
AUAAUAGGGAAUGGCCGAGCCAUAUUUCCUACUGACUGAAGCAAGUCUGACGCUAUCUACGGAAUUUUGGCCGUUUCAGAAAUAUCUGAAACCAGGGUAUGCUUAGAAAUGAACAUGCCUUCCGUAAAGAAAAGGAGGAACCCCUAUGCAGAA